CCUGUGCAGGGCACAGAAAUAGAUGCAAUAUGUCCUUUACACUAGGCUGCAGAGAUAGGUCAGAGGUUAAGAACAAUGACUUCUCUUCUAGAGGUCCUGAGUUCAAUUUUCUUAGUCACUUUCUUUUUUUCUAGAAUGGGCUCCAUGUGUUUUACCACCCUCACCGGGCUCUCCAUGUGUAGGCAGUUGAGUUCCCAGAGAGCAGGGCUCCAUGGUUGGACAGAUUAGACAGGAGAAGCCACAAGUGGAGAGAUAUAUCCCUUACCAGAGCUUGGAAUAGACUCCUGGUCACUUAUUUUGUUCAAUUAAUGGCUAACCUUCUUGCCAGG
ensembl:ribozyme Gm25863 predicted gene, 25863